rnacentral:tRNA from 1 species
GCCCCUAUGGCGUAGUGGUAGCGCGUGUCACUUGUAUUAGAUAUCAAGAUCAUGACAAGGUCUCUCGUUCGAUCCGGGAUGGGGGCA